rnacentral:misc_RNA from 1 species
GAAAUGCGAUAAGUAAUGUGAAUUGCAGAAUUCAGUGAAUCAUCGAAUCUUUGAACGCACCUUGCGCUCCUUGGUAUUCCUUGGAGCAUGCCUGUUUGAGUAUCAUGAAAUCUUCAAAGUAAAUCUUUUGUUAACUCAAUUGGUUUCUACUUUGGUAUUGGAGGUCUUUGCAGCUUCACACCUGCUCCUCUUUGUUCAUUAGCUGGAUCUCGGUGUUAUGCUUGGUUCCACUCGGCGUGAUAAGUUAUCUAUCGCUGAGGACACUGUAAAAGGUGGCCAAGGUAAAUGCAGAUGAACCGCUUCUAAUAGUCCAUUGACUUGGACAAUACUUUUAUGAUCUGAUCUCAAAUCAGGUAGGACUACCCGCUGAACUUAAGC